GCGGCGGAAUUACUAGGCUCAGAUCUAUCUACACAUCCCAAAUAUCUGUUUUCUAGAUGUGGUUCCAUCUCUGGUGAGGAAAGCAAGGUCGAUGGCUCAAUUGGAGAGGUACCGGAAAUCUUUCCUCGGCGGAAACCAUCCCCGACAGAAAUCUCACCGGUGGCCACACACACACGCGCCAAUGGCUCUUCCACCCGGGAAGCUCACCAUUCUCCUCGGUGCAGGUCUUCAACGCUCACUCUUCUAAUUAUUUUAUAAAUUAGUUUUAAUUAAUGGUGAUAUGACUUCAGUGAGAAUGUUUGUGUGACUUCACUCUUCUAAUUAUUUUAUAUUGCAUUUUACUGUUUGUAUUAUAGAUAGUGAGAAAGAUUAGAAAUUGGUGAUGACUUUGAGUGUAGUUGUUGUAACAGGAAGCUACAUGUUCUUUUUGGUAAUGUGGAACAUCACAUUCCAAUUGGUGACUGGUAGGGAUGGCAACGGGUAGGAUCGGGCACGGGUUUUACAAUUACCAAACCCAAACCCAAAUUUCAGAACCCAAACCCAAAUCCAAACACAAACCUUAUGGGCGAUAAAAUGAAAUUCAUGCCCAAAUCCAUUGGGUUUCGGAUUUACCCGAAACCCAAACCCAAACUCAUUAGUUACGUAGCAACUCAAUCCAGAACUUAAUUACUUUCAUAUAAAAAAAAGUGAAAUUCAUAGAAAGAAAAAAAAAACAAAUACUAUUCAUCAUCCUCAUCCAUCACUAAAGUGAGACAACAAUAGUUUAGAGUUUACUUUCUCAAACAUACAAAAGUACAAUUAAUCAUCAAAUACUAAGAACAAAGUUUAUAAAUAUAUAUAUGUACGAGGGUUUUUUUGUAAUUUUAUGUUUCGGGUAUCUUUGGGUUUGGGUUUGGGCGGGUAUGGGCACGGAUUUAACUAAUACCAAUCCCAAACCCAUACAUGGCUACAGUAACGGGCAAAACCCAAACCCAAAUCCAGUCAACUCGGAUUUUGCCCGUCAAAUCGGAUCGGGUUCGGGCGGGUACCCAUGGGUUUGGGCAAAAUUGCCAUCCCUAGUGACUGGAUUGAACCCAUUUGAUUUGAAAACUUUUAGUGCAGAUCAAACAAGGAACUGCUUCGGAGUGAACUUCGUGGACGACAAACUAAAUGGAAAGGAAAAACUCAAUAAUGGUGAGAAAAAAGUUUUAGUGUAAGUGUUCAAAGUGUGUUUUUCAAUUCUGUACCAUGUUUUCUGCUACACACAUUAAUGCUCCAUGUUGGUAGCAUAUCUCAUCUGUUAUAUAAACUCAGGUUAGUGAGAUUGUUUAAUUUUAACUAAUUUCUUUGUUUAUGUUCUGCAGAGUGUGAGAUUGAUUGAUUACUUUAAAGUGGUCCAUUUUUUAGACUGGGCAUUCAAGGGUGAGUUUGAGUGAUUUUUUGUUACCGGGGUAUAUGGAGUGGACUCUAUCAUAGAGCAAUAGAGAGCAACUGCGAGAGAGAUCUCGGGGGUGAAAGGGUUUCAAUUUGUACUCACAGCAUUUUUCCUUUUAUAGAACUUAUUUUUGGUCUUGAAUUUUUUAUUCAUGGCCUUAAAUUUACAGGUGAUACUAAAGAGGGCAUGACUAAGGGGAGACAUAUGCAAUAGCAAGUGUAGUUAAGCAUAUAAAAGGAGACAUACAAUUUCAGGUGUGGGAUCGUUGUGAUUCAUUCAAGUGGAAAUGUACCUUCCUUUAUUAUGAAAGAUUAAUCUGAAUUCACUUCAGAUAUUAAGCUUCCUUUUGUUUUCCAUGCUCAGGUAAGAAUAUAUCAAGAACUUUAGACGCUAUAGUUGCAAAAGAAGGUUAGUGGACUAAUUAUUAAAAUAUCAUCUGUUUUCUUUUUGUCCUGUUUCACUCUAUUUAUAAUUAUUUGGGUGUUUUGUGUACUGUAGGGGCUCAUCAUACAGUUCUAUGGAACUCAACUAAGGAAGAUCCAAAGUGGCUCAAAGAUGAUAUUUUCAAGCCCCACUUAAAGGUUG
rnacentral:lncRNA from 1 species